rnacentral:rRNA from 1 species
UACGUACUGUGCGAACGUUAUUCGGAAUUACUGGGCGUAAAGCGCGUGUAGGCGGCUUGCUAAGUCUGAUGUGAAAGCCCGGGGCUCACCCCCGGAAGUGCAUUGGAAACUGGCGAGCUCGAGUUCCGGAGAGGAGGGUGGAAUUCCUGGUGUAGCGGUGAAAUGCGUAGAUAUCAGGAGGAACACCGGUGGCGAAGGCGGCCCUCUGGACGGUGACUGACGCUGAGACGCGAAAGCGUGGGGAGCAAACAGG